UGUUCAAGGAACUUGGGUUUCGGCUAUCAUGGACAUCGGUUCUACAAUCUAACGUCUUGGGAUUUGUAUUGCGCGCGUCAGGUAUAUGAGAAAUCGCUUGCAAGCUAGAAGUUGAUGCCUAUAGAUGGACCUAAAGAUCGAUUGAUUGCAUUUUAGAUCUUUAGA